rnacentral:misc_RNA from 1 species
GAUUGAUUCAGUUGAUCCUUGGGGUCAACCAUAUAUGGCAGUCUGCGGAGUUCCCAGCCACACAAGCUAAUGAGCUUUUGUACCUGAUAAUAUGUGAGAGAAGAAACUGAAGUGGGUGCAUUUCUGGUUUCUUCUUGGGGAGUGUGCAUGGAUUCAUCAUGUUCCACAGUUAAAGAUUCUCGUAAAAAUUGUUCCAGCUGAGGGUUUCUCAAGAAAUCAAUGGCCUUGGGUGAAAUCACAGGAAGAGCAGCAAGCUGCGAUAGAACAGAAUGCCGAAUUUUAUACUGAUCAACAAGCAUAACAGUAGCCGUAGGUGGAAAAUCUGCUAGUUUUUCAUCGCAGACAUUGUCAAUCCAAGGGCAAAGUAGCUUGUGUCCACUAUCUAGCUUCAAGCUGAACACCAAGGCUGCUUUGUCAACUUGUUGUUGUGCCCAAGAUGGCGGAGUAGUGAAGAGCAUUCGUGAUCCACAUGCUUCACAGGCAAUGGUAUCCAUAUCCACAUUGAUCCAACCCCUUCUAGCACAGUUAACAGCACUGAUUGCCUGUGGUUUAGCAAACCAAGUCAUAGACUUAAAAGUUGACAUCCUUGUAAACAAAUCAUCUCGGUCCCAUGGUCUACACGGCGGAGCUUCCCCUGAACCUUUCGUAGCUAAUAAAUUGUACUUGCUAACUGCUUUGCCGAUUGAUGACAUAUCCAGACGCUCCUUGUCUCUUGACAAUUGAACUCCAGAUGCACUGGAAUUGAGUUUGGAUUUAGGAGGAGUUCGAAAGAUCUUAUCCAUGGCAUCUUGAAAUCGCUUCUGUGAUUCUUCAGCCAUUUUUUCAGUGUCUAAAUUUGUUCAUGCCUCUGAGCUGCCGAGCACUUGCUUU